rnacentral:lncRNA from 1 species
GAGGUUUCACACUGGGUCAUUUUAUUUUCUUUUUAACAGAUCAAGUGGAUGUUGGUGCAUUAGAAGUGCAGUGAUACUCAGAGCUCUAGGUGCAUCGAUAUCAGCUCUAUUUGAAGGUCAUAAGAUGGAGCUUUUUCUCUUUGUAUUGCAUGGAUCUGUGGUCUUGAGGAACACUUUACAGCUCCUGGUUUUCUCUCUUGACUUUAUGGGCCCUGCCAGGAAUCUGACGUAGAUGGAAUCGGGGGGAAGGCUUUUUACAGUAGGCAAAGUCAGCUUCAAUGCUCAUUGGGUCAGACAGCUGGCAUCCUGAAAAGAAAGGAAUACAAGGUUCUUCGUCAAUGGAAUGGAAGCCCCACCAUGUCUUGACCUGCUUUAGGAUGGAAAAAGUUACGAUGAUCUGGGUCCAUUGAUAGACUAGUAUCCAGAACUUGUCCAGGUAUUCAAGAAGUGCGAUGAAGAAAAGCUGCUUUGUGGUUUCAUCCAGAAUGGUCUUACAGGCAUUGCUUUUCUCCUGGUAGAAGGUGAUUAACCCAAUGUAUGCCUUCUGGGUCCAGUUGAAAAGGACCUUUGCUUGUUUCUGCUUCAGUUCUUUCCACAGGGACAGGUUGCAUCUUUGGCUCCAGUGGAACAGAGUAGAAAAGAAUCGCAUGGAGCAGACCCACAGCACAUGCAAGGUCUUCAUCAGAACUAGGUGCAUGGGGGUCAGAAGCUCCACAGAGAGAACUUGGGUCAUGAGGAUGACCAGCUCCCUACCUUCCUGCAGACUUCCCAAGAUGUAGAAUCCAAUCACAAAAAUGGAGAGAUAGUGGGAGGCCACAUCCUCUAGAGCUGUAGAGAAACCCAUGUAGAUUUUUGUUUUUUACCCAGAGGGCCUGGAACAAACAAGAAAUGAUGAAUAGUGAGAAGGGAGGGUCUUCCAGGCCCUGCAAAUCAGUCUCUGUAGAGCAUUACGCUCUGGGCUGGUAGGAGAUAGAGAGAGGCCCUUGCUCUAGGGCUUCACAGCAUCCCCACUUUGGUCUCUAGCAG